GACAGAGGGUGCAAACGUUGUUCGGAAUUACUGGGCGUAAAGCGCGCGUAGGCGGCUUUGUAAGUUAGAGGUGAAAGCCCGGGGCUCAACCCCGGAAUUGCCCUUAAGACUGCAUCGCUUGAAUCCGGGAGAGGUGAGUGGAAUUCCGAGUGUAGAGGUGAAAUUCGUAGAUAUUCGGAAGAACACCAGUGGCGAAGGCGGCUCACUGGACCGGCAUUGACGCUGAGGCACGAAAGCGUGGGGAGCAAACAGG
rnacentral:rRNA from 1 species